UGUAUGUUAAAUUUUAUACUGUCCGCUGAGCACACUAAAAUAUUCUCGCGAAUAGUACUUAUACAAUAAUGAUCUAAUUAAAAGUACCGAGAUAGUUGCUAAAAUAUAUCGUGUCAAAACGGACAUACAUAUCAAGACUGAUGUUUAGAUAUCAAUUAUAUGUAUGGGCAGCAUGCUCGGAACUGUACUAGCAUUGUAAGCAAUUUAACGCUCAUAAAAUCAUAAGACAAUUUUGGGAUCCGAAAAAUGCUCCGUGAAAUAACCUGAAGAUCAUGUUUUCGGUAGAUUUACGAAAUCUCACAAAAGUUAUACCGUAGAGGGAUUCGACUGAAGAACAAAACAUAUUUUACGAGAUUGCAGUAUGCAUAAAAUAUGAUAUAUUUUUCAAAUGCCGCUAUUUCAGACCUGGAGCUGAUUAUUUCUGUGACGAUUUCAAAGUUUGUUUAUAUCAGGAUAUCCACUGAAUGUGUUUAAUUACGUAACUCGAACAGAGUUUUAGAAACAUUUUGCCGUUUUGGGAAUUAAGUUUCCUGCAAAUUUGCUAAUAGAUUUCUGAUUGAUAUUGUGCUUUCGAAGAAGUUGGAUUAAAAACAGUGAUAUCUAUAACAUCAGACAUCAGAAUUAGAAGAUUCUUAAGUUGAAUAGUAAUGAUUUCAAUAAUGAAAAACCUAGUAAUUUUAUAGUUUUCUUUUUUUAUGUUGUUGUUGUUUAUUUUUCAAACAAGUAGCUUGAUAUCUAUUGUUAAAUUCGGUACUUUACAGCAAACGUAGAAUUGGCAGAUAAACCGCUUGUGAUUUUUAUAAAUAACAUAUAUAAUCAUGUGUAUUUCAACAAAAAAUAUUUGAAUGAUUGCAGCAGAUAUAAGCGUUCAAACAAAAUUAACAACACAUCAGCAAGUGUUAUCUCUUUUUGUGAAUUUUUAGAAAACAAUUUUCAAAAUAACAUCAUUUUUAAGUAAAACUUGGUACAAUCUCCUCGGGUAUUCCGAAUCAGUCUUAAAUGUGGCUCACUCUAAACGUUUUACUGCUGAGGACAACAAAUACUCAUGAAAAAAUUAGAAGAAAAAAAGUUGAUAAUCUUUAAGCAAUAAGCAUCUGUGCAUAUUAAACAACCAUAGGUUAUAACGUUGAGCUAUUUUUUAUAAUAAACACAGUAUAAUUGAGUCGAGAUGCUAAUUCAUGUAUUUACCAAAAAAAAAACGGAGCUAUUUUCUUCAAAAGAUGCUUACAUUAUUGUCACCACAUUCAUUUGAAAAUGUCUGGAAUUCAUGUCAAUAGUUAGCCUGGUCCAUUUUAUAUGCUAUUAUGCGUUAAACUGAACGGCGAUUUGUUUCAAUGUUGAAAUUGUAACAAUAAAUUUAAACAGCGUUCAUUAUGACCUUACGAGAUUCUUUAACUUUUACUCAUCAUUUUGUGUUAUCUGAACGAAUAUAAAGUUUUUCUUAGCAUUCUGAAGUAUAUUUCACAAAGCUAGUAUCGCUGGGCAGAUUCUACAAGUAUAACUGACUAAUGGCAACAGUGAUUCGGAAUACACUGAUAUUACUCGAAAUAGCCGAGGUCAUGGAAGUCGGGAAAUCUACAUAUUAUGCCAACGUGGUAUAAGUUGGUUGUGUAAACUGCAAACAGUCCCAGAAAUGUCGGCAACUAAAAUGAUUCUAGCUGAGAAAAUAAUUACCUACACCAAAGAAACUAGAGGACUUUCAACAACUUGCUGGAAGAAUAAAGCAACAGUCAAGGGUGUUUACAAACAGUAUCGUCUGUACUUUGUGAGUGGUAUAUAAAGUAGAGCUCAGGUUCAAUAAUCAUGGAGUAUGUAUCACAAAGCAGUAACGUUAUUUGAACAAAUUUAACUACUCCCGCUUGUACCGCUCCAAAGAUAUACCAUUAAUAAGCUGAAAGAAAGCACAACAUUGUAUACUUAUGGAAGUAAUGUCAGCUACAACACAAGUCGUCUCAAGCAUGACGAGAAAGGGAAUACUGCCAGU